rnacentral:rRNA from 1 species
UACAGAGGGGGCAAGCGUUGUUCGGAAUUACUGGGCGUAAAGAGCGCGCAGGCGGUCGUUCAAGUCGAGUGUGAAAGCCCCCGGCUCAACUGGGGAGGGUCAUUCGAUACUGAUCGACUCGAAGGCAGGAGAGGGAAGUGGAAUUCCCGGUGUAGUGGUGAAAUGCGCAGAUAUCAGGAGGAACACCAAUGGCGAAGGCAGCUCGCUGGGACGUGACUGACGCUGAGGCGCGACAGCGUGGGGAGCAAACAGG